rnacentral:rRNA from 1 species
GGGUCAGUAGGUUGGUCGUGCCACCGGUACGUACUGGUCUCACUGAUUCCUCCUUCCUGAAGAACCGUAAUGCCAUUAAUUUGGUGUUGCGGGGAAACAGGACUGUUACUUUGAAAAAAUUAGAGUGUUUAAGGCAAGCUAACGCUUGAAUACAUCAGCAUGGAAUAAUGAAAUAGGACGAUCGAUCCUAUUUUGUUGGUUUCUAGGAUUGACGUA